GAUGAAGAACGUAGCGAAAUGCGAUAAGUAGUGUGAAUUGCAGAAUUCAGUGAAUCAUCGAAUCUUUGAACGCACAUUGCGCCCCUUGGUAUCCCGAGGGGCAUGCCUGUUCGAGCGUCAUUUCACCACUCAAGCCUGGCUUGGUGUUGGGCGACGUCCUCUUUGGGGACGCGCCUCGAAACGCUCGGCGGCAUGGCACCGGCUUUAAGCGUAGCAGAAUCUUUCGCUUUGGAAGUCGGGGCCCCGUCUGCCGGAAGACCUGCUCGCAAGGUUGACCUCGGAUCAGGCAGGGAUACCCGCUGAACUUAAGCAUAUCAAUAAGCGGAGGA
rnacentral:misc_RNA from 1 species